GGAAGUAAAAGUCGUAACAAGGUUUCGUAGGUGAACUGCGAAGGAUCAUUAAUAAAUUUUCCAACAUGGUUUUGGAAAAACAAUAAUCAUCCUACCUUUGUGAAUUUGUUUGUUUGAAAUAAUUUUUAUUGAAAAAAAUUAUUUGAAUGUCUUUCCUGUUUUUGUUGAAAGUUUUGACAGAACAGGGAUAGAUUUCAAUAUAAUUUUUUUUUAAAUAAAAAGACCUUUUUUAAAUUAAAACUUUUUGUAUUCAUUUGUCUAAAAAAAUUUUAUAAAUAAUAUAAAAACAACUUUUGACAAUGGAUCUCUUGUUCUCGCAACGAUGAAGAACGCAGCAAAUGCGAUAAGUAGUGUGAAUUGCAGAAUACGUGAAUCAUCGAAUCUUCGAACGCAUAUUGCACUUUUUAGUUUACUAAAAAGUAUGUCUGUUGAGUAUCAGUAAAUAUUCUCAUAAAAAAUUUUUUUUUUUUAUGGUUUGAGUGUUUUACAACGAUAACAAGUUGUUUCACUUUAAUUUUUUUAAUUUGAAAUUAUUUUUCAAUUUUAAAUUGGAUAAAAUUUCCUUAAAAAGGAAUAACCUUGACAAUUUAAAAAAUAAAUAAUUUUCAAUUCCAAAGGAAAAUUUAAAUCAACCUGAUCUCAAAUCAGAUAAGAGUACCGCUGAACUUAAGCAUAUCAAUAAGCGGAGGAAAAGAAACUAACAAGAUUCCCUAGUAACGGCGAGUGAAGCGGAAGAGCUCAAAUUUGAAUCUUAAAGGUUCCUUUACGAAUUGUAGUUAAAGAAGUGUUUCUGUUGGAGUUCGGUAAAAGUUCUUUGGAAUAGACAUCAUAGAGGUGAGAAUCCGUAUUGACCGUUACUUUCCAGCUGUGUGAUACACUUUCAAAGAGUCGAUUGUUUGGGAAUGCAGUCAAAAUGGUGGUAAAUUUCAUCUAAAGCUAAUAUUGGCGAGAGACGAUAGCGAACAAGUACGUGAGGGAAAGAUGAAAAGAACCUUGAAAAGAGAGUUAAACAGUACGUGAAUUGUCAAAGGAAGCGUUGACACCAGUGUCGUUAGUUGAAAAUCAAUUCAAUAGUUUUUGAUUCUAAGUAGUAUUGACUUCAUCAGCUUGCUGCUUUCUUCUCAGAAAUUAUUGAAUGCACUUUUCAGUUAACAAGUCAACAUCAAUUUCUUUUGUUGUAAAGGGUAAGAGAAGUGCUUGCGCUUCGGCUCAAGUGUUUAUAGCCUUUAUCUCUGCAAUCGGAGAGAUUGAGUCUGCAGCGUAGAUCUUCGGGUUAGAUACAUUGGUGCUAAGCUAUAGCCUUGUAUAGACAACUUGUUGACUAUGCUCAGUCAUGUAGCUUACUCGC
rnacentral:misc_RNA from 1 species